AGAGUUUGAUUCUGGCUCAGAACGAACGCUGGCGGCAGGCUUAACACAUGCAAGUUGAACGGGAUUUGAUGGUAGCUUGCUAUCAUUAAUGAGAGUAGCGCACUGGUGAGUAACACGUGGGAACAUGCCUUUUGGUGGGGGACAACAGUUGGAAACGACUGCUAAUACCGCAUAAGCCCGGAAGGGGAAAGAUUAAUUGCCGAAAGAUUGGCCCGCGGAGGAUUAGGUAGUUGGUGGGGUAAAGGCCUACCAAGCCGACGAUCUAUAGCUGGUCUGAGAGGACGAACAGCCACAUUGGAACUGAGACACGGUCCAGACUCCUACGGGAGGCAGCAGUGAGGAACAUUGGGCAAUGGAGGCAACUCUGAACCCCCAGCCAUGCCGCGUGAGUGAAGAAGGUUUUCGAAUUGUAAAGCUCUUUCGGGUGUGACGAUGAUGACGGUAACACCUAAAGAAGCCCCGGCAAACUUCGUGCCAGCCGCAGC
rnacentral:rRNA from 1 species